UACGUAGGGUCCGAGCGUUGUCCGGAAUUACUGGGCGUAAAGAGCUCGUAGGUGGUUUGUCGCGUUGUUCGUGAAAACUCACAGCUCAACUGUGGGCGUGCGGGCGAUACGGGCAGACUUGAGUACUGCAGGGGAGACUGGAAUUCCUGGUGUAGCGGUGGAAUGCGCAGAUAUCAGGAGGAACACCGGUGGCGAAGGCAGAUCUCUGGGCCGUAACUGAUGCUGAGGAGCGAAAGCAUGGGGAGCGAACAGG
rnacentral:rRNA from 1 species